GGUAAUUCCGUGAUUUUUAUUAAGGAAACAAUGAAGAAAAUUUAUGAUUAAUUUAUGGUUAGUUUAAUAAAAAGCUUAUUAUAUAUUUAUGUGGACCAACAUAUUUUUCUAAGGAUUCUAAGAAUGAUUGUGGUAAUGACAUAUGACUACAAAAAUAUGUUGUAAUACUUCUCUUUUAAUAUAUAAGGGAUACGUGACUAUGUAUAUGGAAAACAAUAUGGGAUUAUUUUUUAACCCCUUUCGCCUUCCGACUCAUGUUAUGCUUUAUAUGCGUGUUUUGUACUGGAAACACAUUAAACUUUCAUAUAUACCGUACGCAUAAUCUCGCAAUCCUACAGACGUGGAAUUUGAUUGGACUAAUUAAUUAGUUACGUUCAUUAAUCUAUCUGAACUUUAAUCCACGUGAUGUUAUAUAACUCUCGUGACUUUUACUCAGCACCCGUGAAUUGUUCUACGUAUACGUCAUAAACCAUUUCUUAAGAUUUAUUUUUUUGAGAACUUUCUUAAGAUUAAACUAUAACAUUUGAUAAUAGGAGUGAAGUGUUGCAGUAAAACUAUCUACAAUGAUAGUCUAUAAUCACAAAUCUAUUACAAAAAAAAACUCUAACAGCGGAUUUCUAUUUCGUUUGCAAAAGUUUUUUGAAGUGUGAGCGCGGAGCUGCAGCACUGAAGACAAAUCCCAUAUUUUUCAAAACGUUACAAGUGUGAGCAGGGACUACAUCACUCCGAGAACGGAUCACAUAUUUUGUUUGCAAAGUUAGUGUGAGCGCGGAGCUGCAACACUAGGAUCGUACUUUUGCAAAAUAAUACAAGUGUGAGCAGGGAGAUGUAGCACUCUGAGAGCAGAACUCAUAUUUCGUUUGCAAAAGUUUUUUGAAGUGUGAGCGAGGAACUGUAGCACUUGGGAACGGAUCCCAUAUAAAAUGAGUCGUAGAGCUUAUGGUUGAUUGUCUUGCUUGAUCGCCGGCUGGGUACCGAUACGUUUAUAGAAAAUCUAUACUAUAUUAAAAGGGAUAUAUGAGCUCCAUUGAGCCUAUCCACCUCAGCAUGGAAAAUCAUCCAAUGGGAUGGGUUCUUUUUGCCACGUCAUUCGUUCAUUCACACAACAUACGGACCUCUCCGUUUCGUCUUCCUCCCAUUACACCACUUCCGAUUCUCCUUCGCCUCCACAUCUAAGUCUCAUAAAAUUCAUGUGCUUAUCAUAACCCAAACGACAUGAAUCUGUUCCGAUGGAAUAAACCCUCUAUUGGUUUGUUAUGGCUAACUCGAGAAGGAGGGGAAAGCGGCGUGGAUGGAGACGGCGGCGGCGGUUACGUCGGAGUCAGAGAAAUUGAGAUUGGUUUUGACACCGGAGCAAACCGUGUCCCAGAGAUCCGGAGUGAGGCGUGUGGAUCUGAUGAGGUCGAAGGCUAGCUUCUUGCAAACGGCUGACGCCGGAGAUGCGACGAUCUCCUCCACUGCGGAAUUGGCGAUCACCGAAAAGUCCCGUCCGGUGGCAGAUUGUUAGAGAGCGGAUGAUUGGCUAAGGGCGUCAUUCGAUCGGAGAUCGGCCUGUAUCGGCCUGGAACGGAGGUGAUUGCUUACCAUUUUGAUGGAAACAAAUAUUUAGAUAUGUGAGAUUUAUAAUUCUGAGAAGUACAUAAUAAAAUUGUCAUAGGUUUGCCUCAAUCAAGUUUGUGGUUUCAAAGAAACCUGAUGGUCUAUAUCCUGUUGUUAGUGGAACAGGUAAUGUCGCUAAGGUAAAUAUGUUAUGUAUUCGCACUAUCUAUUGUCAAUAUUUUCACUCGCUAAAGGUCGACGAAAAUAUAUAUUCCUGCUCAGGUGACAAGAGACAGAGCAUAAAGAGUAUAUGGUAAAGAAAAACUGGAGAAAACAUAAACAUAUAAACUUUGGUUCUGGAUAUUCUAGAGAUCCUGAGACAAAUCAUGGUUAGAAAAUAAAAGUUAAUGAAUACAUAUCCACUGUGAGGAAUAAAUAUAGGAGAGGUGUUGCUGCACAGUAGGAGGGUUUUCUCUGGUGUUACGUCCUAGCGGAAGCAAGGCACCAUGCUUUGAUUUGGGCCAUUGAGAGCAUGGCAUCUCACAGGCUGAAUAAAGUAAUUUUUGAAACUGAAGAUGCAGAUUUGGUGGGUGCGGUGAAAAGACCGAGGGCGUGGCCAUCUUAUCGUGCGUAUGCUAUGGAGAUAAAAACUGCGCUGAGUAAUAUGCAUGAGUGGGAAUUGGAGGUGGUAUCAAGGAAAUCGAAUAUGAUCACCUUUUUGAUCGCAAGAAGUGUCACCAUGGAUAUGAGGUUGCAGUCGUAUGUUGCAAGGGGAGAGGUUGCUUGGCUGAGGGGUUUGUUUGCAGAAGAACGACUAACUUGCUAAAGGUAUUGAUAUGAGGAAAGGGGAUUAUGUUGGUGGGGUGAUGUCUAUGUUUUGUGGUGGAAAGACGUGAAUGAGUCUCAGGCUCUGUUCUUUUUGGGUGCUGUUUUAAUUUUUGGAUUGCUCUCAUGAGACUUUGGUUAUUGUUUAUCAUCAAAUAUACGUAUUUUCAUAGGAAAAAAAUCACAGAUUCACAAUCAUCAAUCUCAUAAUAUAUAGAAAUUUAAAACCAAUUUGAAUUAGAUAACAUAUCGUAAAAACUAAUUCAAAAAACGCAGGAAAAUUAGUGUGCUAAUAACACCGUCAAGAAAAUUUACUUCCAUUAUUCCAUUGAUAUUAUUAGAACUUAAAAUAAGAAGAACAAACCACUUUUAUGUCAAGAUAAGAGGGCCAAAUUACAUUUUCCAUCUUUAGUGCAUAAAUGUGAGUUACUCAUUUUUUAUAUUUCAAAAUUAUGAAUAUUUUAUAAUAAUACAUAUUCUAUGCUGACGGGAAAAACAAUUAUGUUCCAAACUUAGAGCUAACAAAACCAGGAAGUUUUUGUAAAUAUUCUGACAAAAUUUGUAAACGAUAUAUAUACAAAGGAUUUUAAGAAUUUUAAUUAAAAAUGAAAAACACAAUAGAAAAGGAUAUCCAAAUUUAAUGAUCAACUGCUUAAAAUACCAUACUUUAGAUACUGUUUUUAAUAUUAUUUCAAAUACAAAUAUUAUAGAAUUUGAAUUUACAGUAUAUUAAUUAUUAUUUAGUAUAUAGAGGAGAGGUUGAGUUUAUACACUUCUAUAAAUAUUUUAUAAAUGAUUCUUAAACAUUUAUAAAUGAUUUAAGAAAAUUAGUCUUAUUUUCAUCACAGAUUUAAGGUAUUUAUGCAAAUUGUUAUUUUUAAAAAUAAAUUUAGAAAAUAUAUCAAAUAUUAUGGUAAAUUUAGAAUUCCUUUAAUUUAAUAACAUAAAUAUGUAAUUUUGGCGUUAAUUUUUGAAUUAUUUCAAUAAAAAGUUCAUAAUUAACUGACUGGAUACAAAAUCACAACCUAGAUAUUAAUCACAAAGUUCAUAUGUUGUUAUCUAAUAUCUAUAUCUAUAAUAUCUUCUAUCUUUGUUCUUGGAAAUCGAUGAUGAAAAACAUGAAUCUCAUGAAAACGAAUAAUUUUUAAAAGAUAUUAUUUAGCAGAGAACGACAAAAAUAAAAUAAUAUUUGGUAGAGAUAUUUAGUCUUUGUAGCUGUAAACUUAAUUAUUUGCUUUAGAAUAUAAGCUGUAAAUUUGUAAAAAAAAAAUGUUGUAGCUGUAAACUUAAUCUAUUGAAAUAGAUUUAUAUCAAUAACUUUCAAAGCACUAAAUAUAAGUUCUUAAGAAAAUGAUUUUCAUAGCCAAUCUAUUUUCAGUUUAACUUUUGAAUUGUACCUUUAAAUUAUUUUUUUAAAGCAUGAUUGGUAAAUUAGAUUAGUUGUGAAAAAGUGUGGAAAGCAUUCAGAGUACUUACCAGUCACCUUCGAAAACUAUUAUAUUUUUUCAACAUUUAUGAAAUUUCAGAAAAAUACUCAAUAAGAAAUUAUCUUUUUACCUAUUAUCAAGGUAUUUACAAAAUAAAAUAUUUAUUGUAUCUAACUUUUUUGAAUUUAGAAGAAAAUUUCAGCAACCCCAUUUUAUUUUUCAUGCAUACUUCUAGAAAGUUUAGUUUUCUUGGUAAGAACUUAAACUUUUUAGCCACUAAUUAUACAAUACGAAUCAGAAAGAUAUAAUGAACAGAGGAGUUACGAAAUCAAAAUUUAAAAUGAUUGAGAUUUCAACCUGUUUUUCUACUGUGAUAAUAUAAUAGAUUUUAUAAUUAUUUUUGUUUGCAUUAUAAUUAAAUUUUAUUUUAGUAAUUUAUAUUUAUCACAGUUUUUAGUAUAUACUAUAUCUUUAAAUAUACUAACAUACUAUUUUAAAAUUAAUGAAAAUAAACCCGGGCGUAGCCCGGGAAAAGCUCUAGUAUUAGAGUAAUGAUUGAAAUUAGAUGAGAUUUAAAUUGUCCAUAAAAUACAAAUGUGUAUUAUUGCUUCCAUAAAUGCACAUAGCAUCCAUCAAACACAGAGUUUGGCUUCAUUAGGUGUGUAAUUCAUCUAUUUGAGCUCUGAGGUCGGCUUUCUUGGGUGUGGAGAUCAUUCAACAAGUGUGUGCGCAGAGCUUCGAUCACUUUGUCGAGUUCAUCCUUUGACUAUAGACGGAGUUCAUCAUGGUUGAUGCUCAGUUUUUAUCAUCAUUUUUGAAAGUCACUUUUGAGGCCAUAUGUUUUGAGGUUGUCUUUCGAUCGUUCGUGUUGAUGUCUUUGAGUAGGAGAUUGUUAACUUGGAGAAUGUCGUCAUCAAAGAGUAUUGUGAGCUUGUCAUUGUCGAAGAGCAGUGGUAGUUCGUCGGCGUCGGAAAGCAGUGAAAGCAUGUCAUCUUUUGGAGAUCAGUGUUAGGUCGUCGCCAAAGGGGAGUUGGAGUCGAGUUUGGUUGAGACAAGAAAAUCGAUGAAGUCAUUGUGACAUGGUUGUCAGAGAUAUGAUCGUCGAGGUGAGAUCUUCAAGGACGUGGUCGUCGAGAUAUAGUUGUCGAGAUGAGAUCGACGAUUUGAUCGAAGUCCUCAAAGCAAAUUAGUCGAGAUGAUGUCUCCAUAAUGUGGUCGUCGUUACGUGGUCGUCCAGGUGAUGUAGUUGUCAAGGCAAGGUCAUCAAAGACGUGUUUGCUUGAGACAUGAUUGUCGACUGAUCAAGGUUGUCAAGGUAUAUUGGUCGAGAUGGGGUCAUCAUGACAUGGUAUUUGGAGACAUGAUCGUCGAGGAAUAUUCAUCAUGGUACCGAGGUAGUCGAUGAUCGCGAGGUCAUCAAGGUAGUCGAUAGUCGUGAGGUAAACAUGGUACUGAAAUAGUCGAUGGUCGCGAGGUCAUCAAUGAAACCAAGGUAGUCGAUGGUCGCGAGAUAGUUGGUAGUUGCGAGGUCAUCGAGGUAGUCGGUAAUUGCAAGGUCAUCAUGGUACCGAGGUAGUCGAUGAUCGCGAGGUCGUUGAUGGUACCAAGGUAGUUGGUAAUCGCCGGGUAGUUGAUGGUCGCGAGGUAGUCGCUAGUCGCGAGUUCAUCGAGGUAGUCGGUGGUCGCUACGUCAUCAUGAUUCCGAGGUAGUCGAUGGUCGCCAGGUCAUCCCGGUAGUCAGUAGUCGAGCUCGUUUUGGACAAGAGAGGUCGUCUCGAACUCUUUGUGGUGGUAGUUUUUGGUAGUCAAAGGCGAGCUGGUAAUCAGAGACGAGAGAGGUCAUCUCGGACAUUUAGUGGUGGUAGAUUCUAGCAGUCGAAGGCGAGCUGGUAGCCGGAGACGAGAGAGGUCAACUCGGACUUUUAGUGGUGGUAGUUUCUGGUAGUCGAAGGCGAGCUGGUAGUCGGAGACGAGAGAGGUCAUCUUAUACUUUUGUGGUCUCUCUCCUCUUUCUUCCUUUUAAUGAUUUUGACACCUCAUUUUAUAGUGAAAAUACAAACUUAUCUUUAUGCGAAGUCAUCAUCUGAUAAAUUUGAUAAUAGAAGUGAGUUUUGGGCCCAAAACUUAAUGGACUUUGUGCUAGGUCCAUCUCCAACAAUUUGAUAAUAGGAGUGAGUGUUGCAGUAAAAUUAUCCACAAUGAUAGUUUAUAACCAUGAAUCUUUUCAAAAAACCAUUUAUUUAAGAUUUUUUUUAACAAUUUGAGAGACUCAUGAUAAAGUUUUUCAAAUGGUGAGAUAUUUCGUUGCAUAUACUCUAAUUAAAAGCCUAGCAAUAGUACUUAAAUGUAAUUAAAAUCUUUAAAUAUAAUAUCUUCUUUCUAUUAAAAGAAGUUUUCAUUCGUCCAUACAUAAUAAAAAUACAUUAAAUUUGUAUUGUAAAUAUAUCUUUUGUGAUUAUCAAUUUUUAAUACAGUUAAGCUUAGUAAUUCAAUAAACC